rnacentral:rRNA from 1 species
UACGUAGGGUGCAAGCGUUAAUCGGAAUUACUGGGCGUAAAGGGCUCGUAGGCGGCCAACUAAGUCGGACGUGAAAUCCCCAGGCUCAACCUGGGAACUGCGUCCGAUACUGGAUGGCUUGAAUCCGGAAGAGGAGAGUGGAAUUCCUGGUGUAGCGGUGAAAUGCGCAGAUAUCAGGAAGAACACCCGUGGCGAAGGCGGCUCUCUGGGACGGUACUGACGCUGAGACGCGAAAGCGUGGGGAGCGAACAGG